AUGGUUUCAUUUGAAAAUACAAACACAGAAUUAUCUGAAUUCAAAACACUUACACCAGAAUCAAAUUUCUUAAGCUUUUUAGCUACUUAUCAAAAUGGCUUGUGGAUGUGGUUCUACUUGUGCCUCUAACUGCGGCUGUGGAUGCAAGUCCGCUGCUCAGGAAAACCUCGAGGGAGGAUGCAAGUGCGGAGACAGCUGCUCAUGUACCGACUGCAAGUUUUAAUGAAGAAAAUGAUGAAGAUCCCUGACAUCAUUUUAUUAUGGUAUGGUUGGUUUGUAUGUACUUUGGUGUUAAAUAAAGUAGCUAUCGUUAGCAAUACUUGAGCUUAAGUGUUGUUAUAUAUUCCUAGCUACACAGUGUUUGUAUGUGCAAAACAGGAAAAAGAAAUUGUUUGUGUAUUGUGUAAAAGUGGUAAUGGGAGAUGUUUCACUCCUGUUUUGUAUGUACUUUGGUGUUAAAUAAAGUAGCUAUCGUUAGCAAUACUUGAGCUUAAGUGUUGUUAUAUAUUCCUAGCUACACAGUGUUUGUAUGUGCAAAACAGGAAAAAGAAAUUGUUUGUGUAUUGUGUAAAA